AAAAUAAGUACGGCAUUUCGCUUCAACUGGGCGUCGAGACGACGCUGCCAAGACGAUUCGUGUUGCAUUUGGUGUCACGGUAACAUUCGACAAUUUGGCGCCCCUUUGUGAGUAGCGCUCGGGGCGUGAUGCCUCCCUUGCCCUCCCCCUCGCUACGCUACUGGGUCAGAGUUGGCUUUCAUCAAAACAAAGCGGGAAGUUGAAAAAACAACUGUCAAUGUCAAAUGAAGAAUGUUAUCAUAACUUGAUGAAAACAUCAAGUCAUUAUCUCUCAUUCGUUUCGUCGAAAACGCAACAAUAAAUUCACGAAAAUCCA